rnacentral:rRNA from 1 species
AGAGUUUGAUCCUGGCUCAGGACGAACGCUGGCGGCGUGCUUAACACAUGCAAGUCGAACGCUGAAGCUUGGUGCUUGCACUGGGUGGAUGAGUGGCGAACGGGUGAGUAAUACGUGAGUAACCUGCCCUUGACUCUGGGAUAAGCCUGGGAAACUGGGUCUAAUACUGGAUACGACAUGUCACCGCAUGGUGGUGUGUGGAAAGGGUUUUACUGGUUUUGGAUGGGCUCACGGCCUAUCAGCUUGUUGGUGGGGUAAUGGCUCACCAAGGCGACGACGGGUAGCCGGCCUGAGAGGGUGACCGGCCACACUGGGACUGAGACACGGCCCAGACUCCUACGGGAGGCAGCAGUGGGGAAUAUUGGACAAUGGGGGCAACCCUGAUCCAGCCAUGCCGCGUGUGUGAAGAAGGCCUUAUGGUUGUAAAGCACUUUAAGCGAGGAGGAGGCUACUUUAGUUAAUACCUAGAGAUAGUGGACGUUACUCGCAGAAUAAGCACCGGCUAACUCUGUGCCAGCAGCCGCGGUAAUACAGAGGGUGCGAGCGUUAAUCGGAUUUACUGGGCGUAAAGCGUGCGUAGGCGGCUUAUUAAGUCGGAUGUGAAAUCCCCGAGCUUAACUUGGGAAUUGCAUUCGAUACUGGUGAGCUAGAGUAUGGGAGAGGAUGGUAGAAUUCCAGGUGUAGCGGUGAAAUGCGUAGAGAUCUGGAGGAAUACCGAUGGCGAAGGCAGCCAUCUGGCCUAAUACUGACGCUGAGGUACGAAAGCAUGGGGAGCAAACAGGAUUAGAUACCCUGGUAGUCCAUGCCGUAAACG